rnacentral:rRNA from 1 species
GGUGAACGCUGGCGGCGUGCUUAACACAUGCAAGUCGAACGAGAACGGAUUAUAGCUUGCUAUAAUUGUCAGCUAAGUGGCGCACGGGUGAGUAAUGUAUAGGUAAUAUGCCUCUUACUAAGGGAUAACAAAUGGAAACGUUUGCUAAUACCUUAUACUCCUUAUUAACAGAAGUUAAUAAGGGAAAGAUUUAUUGGUAAGAGAUUAGCCUGUAUUGUAUCAGUUAGUUGGUGGGGUAAUGGCUUACCAAGACUAUGACACAUAACUGGUUUGAGAGGAUGAUCCGUCACACUGGAACUGAGACACGGUCCAGACUCCUACGGGAGGCAGCAGUGGGGAAUAUUGCACAAUGGACGAAAGUCUGAUGCAGCAACGCCGCGUGGAGGAUGACACAUUUCAGUGCGUAAACUCCUUUUAUAUGAGAAGAUAAUGACGGUAUUAUAUGAAUAAGCACCGGCUAACUCCGUGCCAGCAGCCGCGGUAA